CUGUACACUGCCCUGACCACUCGUUACAGGUAACACUGUACACUGCCCUGACCACUGGCUACAGGCAACACUGUACACUGCCCUGACCACUGGUUAAAGGUAACACUGUACAAUGCCCUGACCACUCGUUACAGGUAACACUGUACACUGCCCUGACCACUGGCUACAGGCAACACUGUACACUGCCCUGACCACUGGUUAAAGGUAACACUGUACACUGCCCUGACCACUGGCUACAGGCAACACUGUACACUGCCCUGACCACUGGCUACAGGUCACACUGUACAAUGCCCUAACCACUGGCUACGGGUAACACUGUACACUGCCCUGACCACUGGCUACAGGUCACACUGUACAAUGCCCUGACCACUGGUUACAGGUAACACUGUACAAUGCCCUGACCACUGGCUACAGGUAACACUGUACACUGCCCUGACCACUGGCUACAGGUAACACUGUACACUGCCCUGACCACUGGUUAAAGGUAACACUGUAUAAUGCCCUGACCACUGGCUACAGGUAACACUCUACACUGCCCUGGCCACUGGCUACAGGUCACACUGUACACUGCCCUGACCACUGGUUAAAGGUAACACUGUAUAAUGCCCUGACCACUGGCUACAGGUAACACUCUACACUGCCCUGGCCACUGGCUACAGGUCACACUGUACACUGCCCUGACCACUGGUUACAGGUAACACUGUAUAAUGCCCUGACCACUGGCUACAGGUAACACUGUAUAAUGCCCUGACCACUGGCUACAGGUAACACUGUAUAAUGCCCUGACCACUGGUUACAGGUAACACUGUAUAAUGCCCUGACCACUGGCUACAGGUCACACUGUACACUGCCCUGACCACUGGUUACAGGUAACACUGUAUAAUGCCCUGACCACUGGCUACAGGUAGCACUGUAUAAUGCCCUGACCACUGGCUACAGGUAACACUGUAUAAUGCCCUGACCACUGGCUACAGGUAACACUGUACAAUGCCCUGACCACUGGCUACAGGUAACACUGUGCAAUGCCCUGACCACUGGUUACAGGUAACACUAUAUAAUGCCCUGACCACUGGCUACAGGUAACACUGUAUAAUGCCCUGACCACUGGCUACAGGUAACACUGUAUAAUGCCCUGACCACUGGCUACAGGUAACACUGUACAAUGCCCUGACCACUGGCUACAGGUCCAACUGUACACUGCCCUGACCACUGGCUACAGGUAACACUGUACAAUGCCCUGACCACUGGCUACAGGUAACACUGUUCAAUGCCCUGACCACUGGCUACAGGUAACACUGUAUAAUGCCCUGACCACUGGCUACAGGUAACACUGUAUAAUGCCCUGACCACUGGCUACAGGUAACACUGUGUAAUGCCCUGACCACUGGCUACAGGUAACACUGUGUAAUGCCCUGACCACUGGCUACAGGUAACACUGUAUAAUUCCCUGACCACUAGUUACAGGUAACACUGUAUAAUGCCCUGACCACUGGCUACAGGUAACACUGUAUAAUUCCCUGACCACUAGUUACAGGUAACACUAUAUAAUGCCCUGACCACUGGCUACAGGUAACACUGUAUAAUUCCCUGACCACUAGUUACAUGU